rnacentral:piRNA from 1 species
UAUUUGAAUUUUCCUAUCUCAAUAGCUGC